UGACAUACACGAUGAUAUAUAUGAUGUAUAUGGUAAAAUAAGUAUUUUAAUAUUCUAGCUUUCGACUAAGAUUCAGUCAUCAUCUGGUAUCGAUGUAUAAAUGUAACCUAGCAGUUUCUGAUGAUGACUGAACUUAGUCCGGCUAGAAUAUUAAAAUAUUUUCGGAGUUAAUAACGUUGUUUUAUAUGUAUAUCAGUGGUCUUGUUCAUUGUUUCUGACGAUGACUCUGAAAUAGAUUAUAGUAUAGAGUAUAGUGAACAACCUCUUAGUCAGAGUGCAGUGCAUUUCUUGGCGUUUAUGAAAAGUAUAAGCUUAUUAAUUAUGCUAGUUAUAUCACUGUUCAUACAUUCAUUUAUAAACAUUGUGAAAUUAUAAUUAUAUAGGUAGGAAAGUUGCUAUAGAAAUGAAGUAUGUGUUGAAAUGAUGUCUGUACAAAACAUCUAAGCUCAGUCUUGAUAUUGGGUGUCUAAAGGCAAAACAAAGAAGAAGAAGCAAGUGCCAAAGUCAAAGGACAAAGAGUUUUUGGAAAACGAAAAUGACAUAUAAACUGUUUUAGGUCAAUCCAAAUUUAUGCGAACACGCAACAUUUAUACCUCAUUCUAGUAUAACAGCGCCAUAUAAUAUUUAUUGUUAUGCCUAGUUUAAACGUCAAUUUUUACGUGUGCCAACCUAAUGUAGUAAUGAGUAAUGACAGUAAUGCUGAGUGUUGUCACCGCGGUAAUGUCUAAUGGAGUAAUCACUGACUAUCACGAAAAAAUACAGUCACCCGCAUUACAAUAUUACAGGUUCGAACACGAUAAGCGCGACGUUUGAAGAUAGGCUAAAUUAAUGAAUAAUGCGAAU